rnacentral:tRNA from 1 species
GAUCUGCUAGCUCAGUAGGUAGAGCACAUCCCUUUUAAGGAUGGGGUCCUGGGUUCGAAUCCCAGGCAGAUCA